CUCAGGAUAGCUGGAACUUUUUUAGAAUAGUUUUAUCAGGUAAAGCGAAUGAUUAGAAGCUCUGGGGAUGAAACAUCCUCGACUUAUUCUCAAACUUUAAAUAGGUAAGAAGACUGCAGUACUUAACUGACUGUCAGUCUCUUGAAUAGUAAGUUCUUAGUGGGCCAUUUUUGGUAAGCAGAACUGGCGAUGUGGGAUGAACCAAACGUAAAGUUAAAGUGCCUAAAAAAUACGUUCAUCAGAUACCACAAAAGGUGUUGAUUCAUCUUGACAGUUGGACAGUGGCCAUGGAAGUCGGAAUCUGCUAAGGAGUGUGUAACAACUCACCAACCGAAUGAAUUAGCCCUGAAAAUGGAUGGCGCUUAAAACGUAUUACUUAUACUUUACCAUUAAAGUAAAAUGCUAAAACUUUAAUGAGUAGGAGGGCGUAUGGAUAAUUUAGAAGACUGGCAGUAAUGCUGGUUGGAAUUAUCUUUAGUGCAGAUCUUGGUGGUAGUAGCAAAUAUUCAAUAGAGAACAUUGAAGACUG
rnacentral:rRNA from 1 species